ACGUAAUAGAUACCCGGGUAGUCCACGCCGUAAACGAUGGAUGCUAGCCGUCGGCAAGCUUGCUUGUCGGUGGCGCAGCUAACGCAUUAAGCAUCCCGCCUGGGGAGUACGGCCGCAAGGUUAAAACUCAAAGGAAUUGACGGGGGCCCGCACAAGCGGUGGAGCAUGUGGUUUAAUUCGACGCAACGCGAAGAACCUUACCAGCUCUUGACAUGUCCGGACGGUUUCCAGAGAUGGAUUCUUCCCAGCAAUGGGCCGGAACACAGGUGCUGUAUGGCUGUCGUCAGCUCGUGUCGUGAGAU
rnacentral:rRNA from 1 species